rnacentral:rRNA from 1 species
UAGGGAAUAUUAGAAAUGGACGAAAGUCUGAUCUAGCAACACCGCGUGUGCGAAGAAGGCCUUCGGGUUGUAAAGCACUUUUUGGAAGGAUUAGGAAGGAAUGUACUUCCAGAAUAAGUCUCGGCUAACUACGUGCCAGCAGCCGCGGUAACACGUAGGAGGCAAACGUUAUCCGGAUUUACUGGGCGUAAAGCGCGUGUAGGUGGUUCUGUAAGUAGGGCGUGAAAGCUCCUGGCUCAACUGGGAGAGGCCGUUCUAAACUGCAGAGCUAGAGGAUGGUAGAGGGAGGUGGAAUUCCGGGUGUAGCGGUGGAAUGCGCAGAGAUCCGGAGGAACACCAGUGGCGAAAGCGGCCUCUUGGACCAUGCGUGAGACUCAGAUGAGAAAGCGAGGGUAGCAAACG